rnacentral:rRNA from 1 species
UACGGGAGGCAGCAGUGGGGAAUAUUGCACAAUGGGCGCAAGCCUGAUGCAGCCACGCCGCGUGUAUGAAGAAGGCCUUCGGGUUGUAAAGUACUUUCAGUCGUGAGGAAGGUGUUAAGGUUAAUAACCUUAGCAAUUGACGUUAGCGACAGAAGAAGCACCGGCUAACUCCGUGCCAGCAGCCGCGGUAAUACGGAGGGUGCGAGCGUUAAUCGGAAUUACUGGGCGUAAAGGGCACGCAGGCGGUUAAUUAAGUUGGAUGUGAAAUCCCCGGGCUUAACCUGGGAAUGGCAUUCAAGACUGGUUAGCUAGAGUCUUGUAGAGGGGGUUAGAAUUCCAUGUGUAGCGGUGAAAUGCGUAGAGAUGUGGAGGAAUACCGGUGGCGAAGGCGGCCCCUGGACAAAGACUGACGCUCAUGUGCGAAAGCGUGGGGAGCAAAC